UACGUAGGUGGCAAGCGUUGUCCGGAUUUACUGGGCGUAAAGAGCGCGCAGGCGGUCGGAUAAGUCGAAUGUGAAAGCCCCCGGCUCAACUGGGGAGGGUCAUUCGAUACUGUUCGACUCGAAGGCAGGAGAGGGAAGUGGAAUUCCCGGUGUAGUGGUGAAAUGCGUAGAUAUCGGGGAGGAACACCAGUGGCGAAGGCGACUUCCUGGCCUGUUCUUGACGCUGAGGCGCGAAAAGCCAGGGGAGCAAACGGG
rnacentral:rRNA from 1 species